GUACUGCUGAGGAGUCCCAUAAUAGGACGAAAUGGCCGUCCAGUGC
rfam:Schistosoma mansoni strain Puerto Rico chromosome 1, complete genome